AGUUGAAACACGCUACCUACUUUUUCUCCUAAAAUCAUGGUAAAAACCACCCACUAUCUACAAUCUACAAAAAUUGCUUCUAGGUUUUCCUUAUAACCCACUCUGUAAUCCCCUUUGGAACGCAACGUUGAUCUCUCGCAACAUUGAUCUCUCUCCACCGAUAACCACCCUCUACCCCUAAAUUCUAGCAAUGGUGCUUUGUAUUUAAACCCACAUCCAACGAAAACCUUCAAAAUCAAUCCUCACUGGAGUACUAAUGUCGGUUCUCUAGGUCUACAAGAAACCCCAGAACCCUUAUGUUGUUUCACAUCCGUUUCUCCCUCUCUCUUCUCUUCCUCUCACGUCAAUGCAUACGAUCUGCUGUCCCCGGCCACCUUCAGAUGGUUUUGAAGAAUCAGUUGAUUUAAAAAGGUUCGCCAAUUCGAUUGCUGAAUUGUCCAAUCUCCUUUGUUCCGCUUUUACAUCUCAUCUAUCAGCCUCUUUGAGCAACAGUGUCAACAUCCAGGUUUAUGAUCUACAUUGCUCUUGGGUUAAAGUUGAAUCUAAAUUCUGAGGUUUAUAAUGUCGGACGAUGCCGAAAGAGAAUGAACUUGGGAAAAAAGGCUUCUUGAAGAUCAAUUGGAGCUCCAAUUACAGGAACAAAGUGAAUCAAUCACCGCCCUUGAUGAAGUGCUAGCGUCUGACCCCAAAAAUUCCGAAAUCCUCGAGAUUUGCAAGUUCUUAUUACAACAACGGUGUCGAUUUGGUACGAAGUGUCAUUCAUUACAAUGCAUUGUCACAUUGAUCUUCCAUUAUCAUCACUGAGAAAAUAUAAUCCCACAGUGAUGACUCAUUGGUUCGUCGGGUCCAAUGCGAGGGCUUUCUUUGGUAGGAAAACCGGAGUUUGGCGGGAAGCUGAGCUCGAGUUGUGGGAUGAGGAACUCAGAUCAGGCCGAGUUGUUUUAUGAGAUGAUGGUAUCUUCUUAAAUGUUGGACAUGAGCCUAUUUCUUUCUGCCUUAAAGAUUAGCAAGCGCACCUUGUAUCAUACAAGCUAAGUUCUAUGAUAUAUGGGGUGAAAAGAAGCGAGAUAAACUCUAUUAUUCAGGGAAUGCUCCUUGGCCUUCUUCUUUCAUCAAUGUUAUCCAUCUCUUUUUAGGGGUGUAAAAGUUUUUUUUCUUUAAACCACACAAAACGCUAUCCCUAUGUGCAUACUUGGUGGCUAUUAUAUAUGUAGCUUUGUUGUGGUUUUACAACAUUUCCAAGAACCGUAAGGUUGAGCGAAUUCUUCUCGGAAUACAUAACUAUCUUGUGGCAGUUUUAGUGUUUGUACCUUCACUUAUCUUCCAAGUGAUAUGGAAUCCCAAGCUAAGCUCAAUUACCCUACUUUUUCUAGAGGUGGCAAUGUGGGUGGGUUAGGUAAUGGGUCAAAACGAAAAGUCUUCCGUUCAAAAGAAAAAUAGCUCUUGCAUCAGUUUGGUGACACCAAGAAAUCUACAAAAGACCAGGAAAGGAUUGGCUAGGAGAGAUGAGGUGCAACCUGGUCAGCUUAGGGCUUUUGCCAGCUACAAUGUCUCUGGUAACUACGGGUUGUGGGAUAAUAAAAGUUGGGACUUCCUGUGGAAGAAGCUGGAUAAAAAACCUGGGACUUCCUGUGGAAGAAGCUGGAGAAAUGGAUAAUGGGAGUAAGACUCUUCUUUCGCUUAUUUCCUAAUUCUUAAAAUAAUUAAUCAUCAUUGAUUGUAUGCCUCGCGACCUUCAAGGCUUUACUAUUUGUUUCUACAGAAUUUAGAGGUGGCAAUACAGAUCCGUUUUGGUUAUGGGUUUGGGUUUCGGUUCUUCAACCAACAAAACCUGUUUACAACUUUACAUAACCAAACAAGGCAUGUAUUAAAGGGUUCUUUUGUGAUUCUUGGGUCGUGUCCCUCAUGUUCGUCCAUAACUGUUUGUUUGUUUAUUGUCUUAAAGCUAAUGAUUAUUAAAUCAUUUGUUGCAUGGUGUUGAAGAAAACCAUAUUCUUAUAUAGGCGGUGAUACCUCGACCUACAAAAAACUUUGUUAAUGGUAGCUGGGUAGGAUCGAGCUCUUGUCAGUCAUUUUUGGUCAAACAGUACUGGAUUUUGAUGGGUAUGCACCCAAUCCCGUUGUAAUAUUCACGACAGAGGGUCUAAGCACACACAUGGGGAAUACAAUGAGGCUUGGCUUUGGAAUAACUUUACUUCAAACUACUGGUCGUAUCACACCACAACGGUAUUUUCUUUUUUGCUCGACCAAGGCCGCAACAAAUUGAGGCAUGUGAAGUUAUAGUGGAAGAUUGGGAAAUUCAUGUACAAAUUGAAUGAAAAUAAGGUUCAAGCGUAGAUGUUGGAACCCUACUUUCAAACGAAAAACAUCGCUUGGGUUUUGGUUGAUGAGCAGAUAAAGCUACGCGCUUUCGAAUGGGCGGUGGUUAUGUCGCCGACAUCGAUUUGGGGCACAGCGGUGGUGGUCGAUGUUGGUAGGUGACACAGGUUUGUGGAAGAGCGACGGUGAUUUGUGGUGGUAAGCGGUGUGGAUGCCCUAAAAAUGGAUACUGGUGGAGUGGAUGACACAUGUGGGGCAUUGUUACACUGUUAGCGUAACCCGUCCACCGGACGGGUAUUAAACUAGUUGUUGGUGGUAGGAGUCAUAAAAUCGUGUUAUGUAGCUAAGCAACAGCGACCAAAACAGAGAAAAAUGGUAAAACAAAAAACACGAAUUUAUGCACCAAAUUAUUUACGUAACGUAAAAAGUAUACGAACUCAAAUGUAUACUUACACC